CAGCGAUGAUGAUGCCACACUUCAUGGUCCGUGUUUCUGAACGCCGUGAUUUCAGUGGAAGUUCUGAGUUU